CUAAAUUUAAGUUAUUUAAACUAUUUAUUUUCAAAAUAAGAAAAUAAAUUUAGA
rnacentral:tRNA from 1 species